rnacentral:rRNA from 1 species
AUGUUGUUAUACCGAAAAAGGCUUUCGCCCCGCUUUAUAUAUAAAGCACCAACCACACAUUACAGCCAUCACCACAACAAAGAAGGAAAAGAAGAUAAAACAAAAUCGACAAGGGUACAAACACUACGGAACAACAAGCGACGGCCUCCGAUCAUGCCAUCGACGCAACUGCGACAAGGGAGCAAUUCGCCACCGGAGGGAGGCCACGCUCCAUCAACUCCCAAGGGCCAACCCUGUUGUCCUACCUUCUGCCGCUGCCUCCGAAGAGGGCACCCCUGCCCUCUCGUCCUGGAUCGAAGGACGCCGACCCGUCAGGAGGCAGAACAGCUCACCCCUGAGCACGGAUGGACUGGCCAACAUGUUGCCGGGGAGAGGACGAGCCCUGGCCACCUCACCUCUCACAGGAACCCAUACAUCACGCACGUCACCGGCCAAGACCAAGAAGCCCAUCGCCAUUGCCGAGCAGGGACACGACAGAAACAGGCAAACCACCACCGCGCCGAUCCCCUGACCAUCCUGGACUCCCAAGGCAGCGUCUUCAAGAAGAAAACGACGCCGAUGCGCCGUCGCCGCCCAAUCAAGAGAUUUUAG